GAUGAACGCUGGCGGCGUGCCUAAUACAUGCAAGUCGAGCGAACGGACGAGAAGCUUGCUUCUCUGAUGUUAGCGGCGGACGGGUGAGUAACACGUGGAUAACCUACCUAUAAGACUGGGAUAACUUCGGGAAACCGGAGCUAAUACCGGAUAAUAUUUUGAACCGCAUGGUUCAAAAGUGAAAGACGGUCUUGCUGUCACUUAUAGAUGGAUCCGCGCUGCAUUAGCUAGUUGGUAAGGUAACGGCUUACCAAGGCAACGAUGCAUAGCCGACCUGAGAGGGUGAUCGGCCACACUGGAACUGAGACACGGUCCAGACUCCUACGGGAGGCAGCAGUAGGGAAUCUUCCGCAAUGGGCGAAAGCCUGACGGAGCAACGCCGCGUGAGUGAUGAAGGUCUUCGGAUCGUAAAACUCUGUUAUUAGGGAAGAACAUAUGUGUAAGUAACUGUGCACAUCUUGACGGUACCUAAUCAGAAAGCCACGGCUAACUACGUGCCAGCAGCCGCGGUAAUACGUAGGUGGCAAGCGUUAUCCGGAAUUAUUGGGCGUAAAGCGCGCGUAGGCGGUUUUUUAAGUCUGAUGUGAAAGCCACGGCUCAACCGUGGAGGGUCAUUGGAAACUGGAAAACUUGAGUGCAGAAGAGGAAAGUGGAAUUCCAUGUGUAGCGGUGAAAUGCGCAGAGAUAUGGAGGAACACCAGUGGCGAAGGCGACUUUCUGGUCUGUAACUGACGCUGAUGUGCGAAAGCGUGGGGAUCAGACAGGAUUAGAUACCCUGGUAGUCCACGCCGUAAACGAUGAGUGCUAAGUGUUAGGGGGUUUCCGCCCCUUAGUGCUGCAGCUAACGCAUUAAGCACUCCGCCUGGGGAGUACGACCGCAAGGUUGAAACUCAAAGGAAUUGACGGGGACCCGCACAAGCGGUGGAGCAUGUGGUUUAAUUCGAAGCAACGCGAAGAACCUUACCAAAUCUUGACAUCCUUUGACAACUCUAGAGAUAGAGCCUUCCCCUUCGGGGGACAAAGUGACAGGUGGUGCAUGGUUGUCGUCAGCUCGUGUCGUGAGAUGUUGGGUUAAGUCCCGCAACGAGCGCAACCCUUAAGCUUAGUUGCCAUCAUUAAGUUGGGCACUCUAAGUUGACUGCCGGUGACAAACCGGAGGAAGGUGGGGAUGACGUCAAAUCAUCAUGCCCCUUAUGAUUUGGGCUACACACGUGCUACAAUGGACAAUACAAAGGGCAGCGAAACCGCGAGGUCAAGCAAAUCCCAUAAAGUUGUUCUCAGUUCGGAUUGUAGUCUGCAACUCGACUACAUGAAGCUGGAAUCGCUAGUAAUCGUAGAUCAGCAUGCUACGGUGAAUACGUUCCCGGGUCU
rnacentral:rRNA from 1 species